rnacentral:rRNA from 1 species
UUAAUUGUUUUUUAAUUGUGAACUAGAAUGAAGGAAAAAAUGGUUUAUAUCUGCUUAAAGUCUAUAUAUUGAAUUUUAAUUUUUUGUAAAAAUACAAAAAUAAUUUUUAGGGACAAGAAGACCCUAUAAAGCUUUUUUGAUUUUUUAAAUUAAAUACAUUAUGAGAUCAAUUUGAUUGGGGCAAUUAUUUAUUAUAUAAUUAAUAUAAAUUAAAUUUAGAUACUUACAUAUAAAUAGAAAGAUCCAUUAUUAAUGAAAGAAUGAUUAAGUUACUUUAGGGAUAACAGGAUAAUUUUUAUUAGAAAGUUCUUAUUAGUAAUAAAGUUUAUUACCUCGAUGUUGAAUUAAUUUAAUUAAAUGGUGAAGUAUCUUUUUGAGUUUGACUGUUCGUCAAUUAAAUAAUUACAUGAUCUGAGUUC